rnacentral:lncRNA from 1 species
GCCCAUCCCAUCCACGUGGACACCCACAAUGACAUGGUCAGUCUCUCUCUCCGUCUUUGACUCACUCACCUGCUCUGUAAUCUUACACCUUUGUGACAUAGAGCGUUGUUGGCAGUGCAGGAAUCUGACUGCACACAUGAGGUUUUCACUGGCGAUGAGAAGCUAACCCAAGUUCUGCCUGUCCCUCCUGCCAAGACUUCUCACGGAAAAUGGAAGUGGCUGAAUCGAGAAGGGCGCACACAGGGAGGAAGAGAAGAAAGGCUUUCCCUUGCUGUCCACCAGCCUCCGCCUCUUCCAAUGUCUAUGGCGCACCCACCAUGUGCUGAUCACUCUGCCAGGCACCAGGGAUCCACUGGGGACAAGGCAGAGAUGAUCCCCCUCAAAGAGUACCCAUUCUGGUGGGGGAAGCAGAAAAAGAAACACAAGUGAACAAAGAAAGCAAAAGACUUGCAAAUCAUGAUGAGGAAACAAGAACAGGGCUGAGAGGAGGAUUACCCUCUAGAGCCGUGGUUCCCAAAGUGGGGUCCCUGGACCAGCAGCUCCAGCAUCACCUGGGAUAUUACGGAAAAUGCAAAUUCUUGGGCCCUACUCCAGACUGAACAAUUCAGACACUCAGGGAUCACGCAAAUAGUUCCUGGACAUAACAGGCACUUUAUAAACUAUGAUAAAUAAAAUGCAUGAAAAAUUGGAGUAGGACAUUGUACUUUAAGCUGGGCUCUCAGAGAAACACCUCUCUAAACAUUUAAGCUGAGAUCUAAAGUUCAAGAAAGAGCCAGCCAUGCAAAGAGUGUGGACAAGAAUAUUCCAAACCAACUAUAACAGCAAGUGCAAAAGCCCUGGGGUAGGAACAUACUUUCUUCAGAACCAGAGUGCCUGACAAGCCAUGCUCUGCAGUUCGGGAGCCCCAUCUCUGACUCUGAGAUCCAGAGUCUUACCUCCCAAAGGAACACAAGGGUACGUCUCCUCUUAGCUUAACUAGGAGGUGAGAGACCUGCACUCUCCGUGAGCACCAUUGUCUUACUUAUUUGGCUGCAUAUGUAAAACCACCAAGCAGGGCCAUGCUGCAGCCAAGGCCAUCAUUCACAGAGCCUGGCUUGUUCUCCCAUCACGACGAACUCUCAGUGACCCUGGACAAACGGGCUCCCAGGUGUCACCCAGUAAGCCAGGCUGGAGAACCAGGGUAAUGUAGGGGCUCUGAUUUUCAAUGGUGCAUUCUGGAGCGAGCCCAACCCUCAUCAUUCCAAGACAAUAAACAAAGGAUGCUCAAAGACGAAUUCAAGAUAGCUUUAUAGAAAGGGGAUGAAAGGCAGCAAACGAGAGGAAGCAGCACACACAACCGGAGUGAUUCAAGCCGCCAGAGGAAGGGGCUGGGGCCAAGUCACUGCUGAUACUCACUACAUUGUAAGGACCGAGUUCCAGCUGGCACAACACACAAAGCCAGCCCACCAGAGAGGCACGCAAGAGGCUGCUCUCCUCCUCGCCUGCAUUCAUCUUCAUCCGUAAGAAAGACACAAGCUUUGCUCUGACUACAUCCACUGGGACAAUUUCCUUGAUUUGACUUUUUUAAUGUUAAAAAAUACCUGCAGAAUGUUAACAGAGAUACGUUUUACAGCUAUAAAAGCCAAA